rnacentral:rRNA from 1 species
AUGAAAGCCUACUCGGCCCCGGGGCUAGACGGCCACCCAGUAGUUUUUUUCCAAAAAUUCUGGGAGAUCCUACGUCCGAUGAUUAUGCCCAUAUUCCAUGAGUUCUACAUUGGAACAUUGGAUAUGGCUACGAUUAACUAUGGUGUCAUAUCCCUGAUCCCCAAAGUAGUUGGGGCGACAGAUAUUAGGCAAUUCCGACCCAUCAUGGUGAUCAACGUGUUGGAGCGAAUCUUUGCGAAGGUUUGCGCGACUCGUUUAUCCCCUGUGGCGGGAAGGAUUGCCCACCCCCUUCAGUCCGCGUUCCUGAAGGGCAGACGGAUCCAUGAUGGGAUUCUUGCCCUUCAUGAGAUCGUCCACGAGGUGGCGUCGAAGGGACUUAAGGGGGUCUUCCUCAAAUUGGACUUCCAGAAGGCAUAUGACCAUCUGGAUUGGUCCUUUUUGAGGUUGGUGAUGGAGCGACGAGGAUUUGACGAGAGGUGGUGUUCCUGGAUCAUGCAACUGGUCAGAUCUGGGAACACGGCGAUCAACAUCAAUGGCAAGGUGGGCCCCUUUUUCCCGGCCUCCCGAGGGGUAAAGCAAGGGAACCCUGUCUCCCCCUUGCUUUUCAACCUCGCAGUUGAUGCCCUAGCGGGCAUCUUAGAUAAGGCCAAGAUGGCCGGCCACCUUAAGGGUGUAGUUAGUCACCUCAUCCCGGAUGGGGGAGUUACUCAUUUGCAAUAUGCGGAUGACACCAUGAUUAUGGUG